rnacentral:misc_RNA from 1 species
UGGAAUCUUGGCUUAAUGAUAAAUUUUUCGAUUGAGGUAUUUUUGAUACUAAUCUUUAUGAUGUUUUUCGUAAAGACCGUGACUCUGUCAAAACCGGAUGUUCCAGAGGUGGUGGUGUUCUCAUUGCUUUUCGGAGAAAAUUUCGAGCAUCAUUGGUAACACUUACCAAUUCUUUCCCCUCGCUAGGGCAGGCACCUUGUCGUUGGUGCGGGGGCUUAGCUGAAUUGCCGAUCAGCUCAUCUCUGGUUUGGGGUAUCGUGGACGUGCUCGUCGCUUCUGCGCUACCUUGUCUCCAGAUUGGGGCUGCCGGCAAACGGUGACCAAGAACUGCCACCUCCUAAUCCAGGGUGUUACGCGCACCGUGCCUAUUGAACGGUUUGCAGCCAGGAGGGAAUAAACCGGCUGUAGUAUAACGGCGCCUCUUCGACACCGGGCCGCAUCGAGGAGUAACGGUGGCCUUACCGCGACAUGGGGCGCUGGCGCGGCGGACCACAUGAGAUCCCCUAUUUUUACUUUUACUGCUGAGCUUGCCUAGCCGACCAGGCAGUCGUACGAACAAGAUGAAUACAACUAAACAACAACAAAAACACACAAAAACCAAAACCAACGCGUAAUCAAAUGCGAAAGACAGCUACAGCUACAGGUACAACAGCAGUAACAGGUACAACAUCAGCAACAGCUACAACAGGUACAGUAACAACCACAACCACAGUUACAACAGCAGCAGCAGCCACGAAGACGGUAAUUUCAGUGGCACCACCAAAGGUACCAACGGCCAAGCUCGGAAGCACUAUGCUGGGCGAAAGUAAAGGCACCAGGCGCAGUUGAAGCUUCCUUGAGAGUCUAACCGAGGAGGAGGCUGCCCUUUUCAUUGAACACGCCAGAGAAGAUGAGAGGCCAAGCACUAGCAGUGGCGGCGUGGUUUGGGCGCAGCUUCAUUUAGAACCAAGGCACCAAGAGAGCAGAGGCUCUGGCCCCGAAAAAUAGGCACCGAUCUCCAAGCAGGAACCGGGAUGCCAGUCGGCGUCGCUCCAGGAGCCGUGACCGCUUCGGGAGCCAUGAUCGCUCUGGGAGCCGAGGCCGAUCCAAGGGUCGGCAUCGCUCGAAGAGCAGACAUCGGUCCGGCGGCGGGCACCGCUCUAGCAGUAGGCACCGCAGGUCUCCUAUUCGGACCUCAUCGCUCGAGUCAGGGUGGCAGCUGCAACACAGCAAGAGGAAAAGACGCAGGUGUAUACCGCCUCCACUUCCGCCGUCCGGUCAACCGGAAGCCCUUGACGACCACCACCGAGCUGGUCUUGGUGGGUCGGGAGUUAAGUGGUAUCUCCGGUACCUGGGGCAGGGGAAGAAGCCGAGCGUAGCCCGCGCAAUGGCGGAAUUAAGGCAAGAGGUGGAGCUGGAGGCACAAGAGAGUGGUUAGGUGACUGCUACCGCUGGUAUGCAGCAGAGAGGUGAGCUACCCGCGCCUGCUGAAAAGCAGAGAGGCGGGCAACAGCAUCAGAGACCCGCGGCUGCUGAAAAGGAGAGAAGCGGGCCACAGCAGCAGAGACCCGCGCCCGCCAAAUGGCGGAGAAGCGGGGAAGCCACAGGUACCAUAACAGGCUCAUCAACAGCUACACCAAAACGCACUAGCCUACAGGUCACACCACCUGAGCCACCGUCCCCCAAACUACCGCGGAGGCUCCUACCACCUCCAACAGAGUCUAGGGGCUUGGAUGGGUCCGCGGGCCAGGGUCAGCCACAGGAGGUAAUCACUAAGCAGCCCAGCUAUUCGGAUGCUCUUAAAGGCAUACGGGUGGCUGUGCUGCCCUGUGACUACCCUGCUGCUACCCUAAGCCCUGAGGACCUCACCAAACUCCAGGACGCCAUCAUGGAUGAGGUCCUUAAAGGGUGGAAGCACGCACUGGUCUUUUGUGGGGUAUUUUUCGGGUCAGGCAUGCUCCUUGUGGACUGCAAGGAUGAGCGGACCGCAGCAUGGCUGGUAGAUAAGGCACCUAACAUUGCGGGGUGGGAGGGGCCCGCGUUAUGUACCAAGAGGGGGAGGACAUCCCGCCGGUGCAUAAUAUCUCGGUCUUCUUCCCAAGAUGCGCUGAGAAAUCGGCUGAGUACGUGCUGGGUCCCAUCCAGGCCCAGAAGGAGGUGCGUGGGAGGUGCUUUAAUGCGGAGCCGAAAACAACGGUCUCAGGCUCAACCUGGGGAUCGAUGAGGCGUCGUAUGUCAGCAUCAAGAGGGCCGGAUUCAUAGUCAACUUCCGCGACAUAAGACGACAGGCAGCAAGGAGUCAGAGUCCCAAGACAAGCAAGUCGACGAGGCUACUGACUCCACUGCCGCCCCAGCGACCGAGUCGACCACGGCCCUACCGGAAAAUCAGUCACUAGAACCAGCACAGGCACCAGCUCUUGUGAGUGCCCCGGGCCAAGUGCCACUGACUACGUGCGCACCACACCGGAGCUCCUAACGGACAUAGGCAGGCUCGAACUCGACAGAGGAGGCGAUGGUGAGGUACGGCUCUCAGACACCGAGGACGAGCCCCAACUAUGAACCAAACAGCGCUAACAGUAGCCCAGGUCAACUUGCAUCACGCGGUGGCCGCCUCGGCGAUCAUUGCAAGCAGGUUUGCCACGGAGGACCUGGGAAUCCUACUGAUACAGGAACCGUGGACCUACAGAGGCCAGGUGAGGGGCCUCAAUCAUAACAACAAUAAGAAUUUCUUACACAGGAUCUGGUAGCGGUCCAAGCUACCCUAAGGGUUAACGGGAAGGAACUGGAGAAGGUCUUAGCUGCAGUCUAUUUUCCGGGGGACAACGCCAACGUGCCGCCUCUUGAGGUACAGCAGCUGCUGGAAUUUUGCCGCAGAAAAUGACUUCCGGCGAUUCUCGUCUGCGAUGGGAACGCCCACAAUAUAGAGUGGGGCAGCUCGGACACAAACCGUAGGGCUUAAUACUGGCAGAGGGUGAGUUUCUAGUCGGUGAUCCAGCUUCCGAAGAACCACAUCUCUUUCGCUGUAAUAAGAUGAUUUUGGCGACUGCGUCUGAAGUCUUUGAACCUUUGAACAUAUUAUAUGCUAAUCAUCCGAAACAACUGGUAAUAUUUCUAUCACAGCUAUCACACAUAUCUACAAAAUAGAUUUUACAACAAUUGGAGGAAUAUAGUUGGCGUAAUAACUUGCAUGAAAAUCUGGAGUCUGAGCAAUUCCUAAACCUAGUAGAUGCGGUCUGUUAAGUAGAUUUUAACAAACUAUCAAGAGUGAAUUUCGAAACGGGCCCUGCUAUGCCAUUUGUUUAAUAUAUAUUCUAAUUUUAUAUGUACUUGUAUGAAGGUUUGCAUAGUAUUCAUGUGUAUACUUACAUAGAUACUUAU